rnacentral:rRNA from 1 species
UACAGAGGUGCCAAGCGUUUAGGCGGAAUCACUGGGCUUAAAGCGCGUGUAGGUGGACGGGUAAGUAUCUUGUGAAAUCCCACGGCUCAACCGUGGAACUGCUGGAUAUACUGCUUGUUCUUGGAGGCACUUAGGGGCACUGGAACAAAUGGUGGAGCGGUGAAAUGCGUAGAUAUCAUUUGGAACGCCAAAGGCGAAAAGCAGG